rnacentral:rRNA from 1 species
CAGGACGACGCUGGCGGCGUGCCUAACACAUGCAAGUCGAGCGGAGUCGGUAAGAGGAAGUUUCGGAUGGAAUCUUAUUGAUUUAGCGGCGGACGGGUGGGUAACGCGUGAGCGACCAACCUUGCACAGGGGAUAACGGACCGAAAGGUUCACUAAUACCGCAUGAGACCACGGUGUUGCAUGACACAGAGGUCAAAGGAGCAAUCCGGUGCAAGACGGGCUCGCGUCCGAUUAGGUAGUUGGAGGGGUAACGGCCCACCAAGCCUAUGAUCGGUAGCCGACCUGAGAGGGUGAUCGGCCACAUUGGAACUGAGAUACGGUCCAAACUCCUACGGGAGGCAGCAGUGGGGAAUAUUGGGCCAAUGGGGGAAACCCUGACCCAGCAACGCCGCGUGAAGGAAGAAGGUUUUCGGAUUGUAAACUUCUGUCCUUGGUGAAGAGAAGAAGACGGUAGCCAAGGAGGAAGCCCCGGCUAACUACGUGCCAGCCGCCGC